UACGGGGGGGGCAAGCGUUGUUCGGAAUUACUGGGCGUAAAGGGCUCGUAGGUGGCCAACUAAGUCAGACGUGAAAUCCCUCAGCUUAACUGGGGAACUGCGUCUGAUACUGGAUGGCUUGAGUUUGGGAGAGGGAUGCGGAAUUCCAGGUGUAGCGGUGAAAUGCUUAGAUAUGACACAGAACACCAAUUGCGAAGGCAGCUCGCUAAACUGACAUUGACGCUGAGGCACGAAAGCGUGGGGAGCAAACAGG
rnacentral:rRNA from 1 species